rnacentral:rRNA from 1 species
CAUAUCAAUAAGCGGAGGAAAAGAAACCAACAGGGAUUGCCCUAGUAACGGCGAGUGAAGCGGCAACAGCUCAAAUUUGAAAUCUGGCUUCGGCCCGAGUUGUAAUUUGUAGAGGAAACUUUUGGUGAGGCACCUUCUGAGUCCCUUGGAACAGGGCGCCAUAGAGGGUGAGAGCCCCGUAUAGUCGGAUGCCGAUCCAAUGUAAAGUUCCUUCGACGAGUCGAGUAGUUUGGGAAUGCUGCUCAAAAUGGGAGGUAAAUUUCUUCUAAAGCUAAAUAUAGGCCAGAGACCGAUAGCGCACAAGUAGAGUGAUCGAAAGAUGAAAAGCACUUUGAAAAGAGGGUUAAAUAGCACGUGAAAUUGUUGAAAGGGAAGCGUUUGUGACCAGACUUGCGCCGUUCCGAUCAUCCGGUGUUCUCACCGGUGCACUCGGGGCGGCUCAGGCCAGCAUCGGUUUUGGUGGGGGGAUAAAGGUCCAGGGAACGUAGCUCCUCCGGGAGUGUUAUAGCCCUGGGCGUAAUGCCCUCGCUGGGACCGAGGUUCGCGCAUCUGCAAGGAUGCUGGCGUAAUGGUCAUCAACGACCCGUCUUGAAACACGGACCAAGGAGUCAAGGUUUUGCGCGAGUGUUUGGGUGUAAAACCCGCACGCGUAAUGAAAGUGAACGUAGGUGAGAGCUUCGGCGCAUCAUCGACCGAUCCUGAUGUAUUCGGAUGGAUUUGAGUAAGAGCGUUAAGCCUUGGACCCGAAAGAUGGUGAACUAUGCUUGGAUAGGGUGAAGCCAGAGGAAACUCUGGUGGAGGCUCGCAGCGGUUCUGACGUGCAAAUCGAUCGUCAAAUCUGAGCAUGGGGGCGAAAGACUAAUC